GACGAACGCUGGCGGCGUGCCUAAUACAUGCAAGUCGAACGCUUCUUUCCUCCCGAGUGCUUGCACUCAAUUGGAAAGAGGAGUGGCGGACGGGUGAGUAACACGUGGGUAACCUACCCAUCAGAGGGGGAUAACACUUGGAAACAGGUGCUAAUACCGCAUAACAGUUUAUGCCGCAUGGCAUAAGAGUGAAAGGCGCUUUCGGGUGUCGCUGAUGGAUGGACCCGCGGUGCAUUAGCUAGUUGGUGAGGUAACGGCUCACCAAGGCCACGAUGCAUAGCCGACCUGAGAGGGUGAUCGGCCACACUGGAACUGAGACACGGCCCAGACUCCUACGGGAGGCAGCAGUAGGGAAUCUUCGGCAAUGGACGAAAGUCUGACCGAGCAACGCCGCGUGAGUGAAGAAGGUGUUCGGAUCGUAAAACUCUGUUGUUAGAGAAGAACAAGGACGUUAGUAACUGAACGUCCCCUGGCGGUAUCUAACCAGAAAGCCACGGCUAACUACGUG
rnacentral:rRNA from 1 species